rnacentral:rRNA from 2 species
GCGAAGAACCUUACCAGGUCUUGACAUCCUCUGAAAACCCUAGAGAUAGGGCUUCUCCUUCGGGAGCAGAGUGACAGGUGGUGCAUGGUUGUCGUCAGCUCGUGUCGUGAGAUGUUGGGUUAAGUCCCGCAACGAGCGCAACCCUUGAUCUUAGUUGCCAUCAUUAAGUUGGGCACUCUAAGGUGACUGCCGGUGACAAACCGGAGGAAGGUGGGGAUGACGUCAAAUCAUCAUGCCCCUUAUGACCUGGGCUACACACGUGCUACAAUGGACGGUACAAAGAGCUGCAAGACCGCGAGGUGGAGCUAAUCUCAUAAAACCGUUCUCAGUUCGGAUUGUAGGCUGCAACUCGCCUACAUGAAGCUGGAAUCGCUAG